CCUGAUAGCUCAGUUGGUAAAGAAUCUGCCUGCAAUGCAGGAAACCCAGGUUUGAUUCCUGGGUCAGGA
rnacentral:tRNA from 1 species